GUAACAAGGUUUCCGUAGGUGAACAUGCGGAAGGAUCAUUG
rnacentral:rRNA from 1 species